UACGAAGGGUGCUAGCGUUGUUCGGAAUCACUGGGCGUAAAGCGCGCGUAGGCGGUGACACAAGUCAGAGGUGAAAGCCUGGAGCUUAACUCCAGAAUUGCCUUUGAAACUGUGUCGCUAGAGUGUCGGAGGGGUUGGCGGAAUUGCUAAUGUAGAGGUGAAAUUCGUAGAUAUUAGCAGGAACACCGGUGGCGAAGGCGGCCAACUGGACGACAACUGACGCUGAGGCGCGAAAGCGUGGGGAUCAAACAGG
rnacentral:rRNA from 1 species